rnacentral:rRNA from 1 species
GACGAACGCUGGCGGCGUGCCUAAUACAUGCAAGUAGAACGCACAGUUUAUACCGUAGCUUGCUACACCAUAGACUGUGAGUUGCGAACGGGUGAGUAACGCGUAGGUAACCUGCCUGGUAGCGGGGGAUAACUAUUGGAAACGAUAGCUAAUACCGCAUAAUAUUAAUUAUUGCAUGAUAAUUAAUUGAAAGGUGCAAUUGCACCACUACCAGAUGGACCUGCGUUGUAUUAGCUAGUAGGUGAGGUAACGGCUCACCUAGGCGACGAUACAUAGCCGACCUGAGAGGGUGAUCGGCCACACUGGGACUGAGACACGGCCCAGACUCCUACGGGAGGCAGCAGUAGGGAAUCUUCGGCAAUGGACGAAAGUCUGACCGAGAAACGCCGCGUGAGUGAAGAAGGGUUUCGGAUCGUAAAGCUCUGUUGUAAGAGAAGAACGGGUGUGAGAGUGGAAAGUUCACACUGUGACGGUAUCUUACCAGAAAGGGACGGCUAACUACGUG